GGAUGUGAGGGCGAUCUGGCUAUGACAUCUAUCAACCCACUGAUGGCCAGGGUUGAUUCAGCUGAUCUAGCUGGCUAGGUGGGUGUCCCUUUCCUCCCUCACUGCUCCAAGUGCCUCACUCCAAGCUGCUCGCUUGGUAGGUCCAAAAGGACGGCCUUCCCCAAUAGAGGUGAACCAGUCUUCAGUCGAGGGUAUAAAGUAGCUGCACUCCCCUGCUAGAGCCGCCAAACAAGCUCUCAAACUAUACAUAUCUUUUAUCACAUUCACCACUGGAUAUAGCCACAACAUUCUCUCAGUGUUUGU
rnacentral:snRNA from 1 species